CUGUCAUUCUCCUAAAUUAGCAAAAGAAAAUCUCAAGAACUAUUGAGAAUCCUGAAUUAGAAUCUAAAAUAUGGGUAUUAGAUAACUUUAAGCUCAAUAUUACACACUAAGUUGGGAAAGAGGCAAUGGAGAAAACUUGCCUAAUGAAAAGAUUCUGAAUAAUCAUAUCUCAUAAGUAGUUUGUCAGGUCAUUUGAUAAUCCUUAUUCUAGUAUCACCAGAUCUAGUACAAACCAAGCGCUAAGCACGAUAGUUUGAAUGAAACCUCUCAAGUAAAGAAUUUUGUUAAAAGAAAUUUAAAGGACCACAUUCUCAUCAACUUUUUGAACAAAAGUAAGUCAUUUCUUGUAAUUUUGUAUUUAAAAAAAAAAGGUAGAUACAUCACUGACUUUUAUACGAAGAACACAACAAUACAAAUACCUGAAAAAGUCAAAUUAGUUGAAAAUUGAGAAAUAGUAUUUUAUUCAAAGUAUUCUGCAAUCACAUAUUUCUCCAUCCAUCAAGAUAUAGCACUGGAGUAUAUUGGUUUGAAACGAUAGUGUUAUUAAAAAAGGGUCAAAAACAUCCUAUUAUUUCAAUCGGUUAUUCGUACUUUAAGUGUUGUUGGGUGAUUCUUCUGUGGUCUUAUCAUAAGAGAGGUUAAUAUAAAAGUAGGCUUUAUUUUCAAGCAUCAUUGUAGAUUCCAAAUAUAUUUAAAAUAUUAUAUAUCUUUACUUGAGUAUAAUGGAUUUACUUGAGUAUUUAAAAAGUUCAUAAACAUAUCUUGGCUAAUUAAGAACCUGAAAAUGCACACUUCAAUUGUUUUACAUAUAUCAUUCAAAAUCAACAGAAUACAAAAAUUAGAUUCCAUCUCUGAAAACAUAUUAUUAAAUACAUUAGGUGCAUUAUCCACCUCAAAUUAGUUGUUAAUCCACAUAAAAUACAUCAAACAGACAUAGAAGCAUGUCGAAAACAGGAACAACUGCUAACAUGCAUGUAAAACAUCUAGUAGACAUAUUGUUAUCAAAGAAAUUAUAUCUAUAUAUUUUAUCAUGAUGAUGCAUUUUUCAGUGAUUACACAAUAUAUACAAAUAUAGUGAAAAUCUACAUAAAAAAACAUAAUAAAAUUUCAUUUUUAUGAAGAAGAGAUUUUUCAUUUUCUAAAAAGGUCUUGUUUUGAUUUUUUCAUUGUUAGAAAUCUCUAUUCCAUGGUAUUCAAUAUGUCACAAACUGCUCUACCCCCAUACGAGUUACACGACAUACAUUAGUCCGAAGGGGUCUCACACAAGCCCUUAAGUAACAUCCUUACGUAAGAUAUAAGAAUGAUGCAAAAAAAUAAAGCUUUUACAAUAGAAGUUCAACUUUCUUCAUAUAUGAAAAAAAGGAAGCUAGAUUUCUCUCAUUACACAAUUUAAACAUAAGAGUAUGAAAGUUGGGACUUAGACCUUACAUCAAUAGUAAGUCUUAUCAUAAGGACAUACAAUAGUCCUUAAAAAGGAAAGUAAACUAGAACUAUAAUCAAUAACAUAUCAUCCUUGCAUUGAGGACUUACCAAAACUUGGAGGUAGCAACCCAUGUUUUCUUAAAGAAUGGACUAAGAGCACCUCAAUGGCCUGAACCUACACUCAUAGGAGAUGUAAAAGAGAAGGGGAUAGUACAAAAACACUAAGUAUGGAAACAUGCAUAAAAAUACCUAAUUAUGCUAAAGAGGACAUUUUCGUGAAAAUCAUGCAUUUAUUAAUCUUGAAAACCAUUUAUGCACAUAAGGACAUAAUACAAGUCAUAAUAGCAUUCUCAUAUGAUUUUCAUAAUAUAGUAGGACCAUUACCUUAGCAAACCUAAAAGCAUACUUGUGUUUAUAAUCACCUUGAGUUACACAUAUCAACUUUAGAUACCCAACUAUACUAGUAUCCAUUUAGAAUCACCUUAGUUAUACAUAUCAACUUUAGAUCCCAUCAUAAUCCAAAAUCAUACAUAAGUGAAUAACCAUGUUCAUCAUAUGUACAUAAGGCGAGUCAUAUCUUAACAACAACCCAAUCAACGUAUAACAUACCUUCAUUUCUUACAAUAGCAUCAUGGACCCACCCAUAAUCCCCUUCAAAGAUUACUUGUGCAAUGUAAAAAGUGAAGUCUCAUACCCUCACUCCUACUACAUAGACUUAUGAAGAAAUCACAAGUAUGGUUCAAGUCAUAUUCAUUAUCUUAUUACAUAGAGAGAAUUGCCUUAACGGAUAUAGACAAUGUGACCUACAUGGAAUCCGGUAUAGUAUAACCCCACACCAAAAGACGGUGUCUUGCUUGGAUAAGAGAAUUAAACAUAUAUAGUUUUAAUAUUGAUCCACUAGCUAAGACCUAUGCGGGUACAUAGUUAUGGAAUAGAGAGAUUGCUUCUAGAAACCCGGCCUAUUGAACUAGUGGGAGAGUUUCCAUCUCAUGAGAGAAUAUGUAAAAGACCUAACCUAAAUUAGAGGGAAGGUCUCUACCUCAUUUGCCAUAUCCGCUCAGUGCUAAGCAUUAUUCUCCAAUUUUUACAUAGUUAAGGUGAACUGUAAUUUCAUAUGUGAGGGAGUACAUUAUUCUUCAUUCAACAAACACAUACAUAGCUCAUGGAUUCAACAUGGUGAGAACUACCUUUCAACUAAUAAUAAUCAAAUAACCAUCUAAGACAAUUAAUACAUAGUCAUGUGUAAUAGUAAAGGAAACUAGUCUUUCAACAAUACCAUAUCUCACAACUUAGUCAUUAUAUCUUCACCAUUCAAGUGGAACUUAACUUUAUACAUAAAUACAUAAAAUUAAGCACCUCCAGCUUUCAAGUGGAUCAAACCAUUUAUAUAUAAGAAUCUUGGACAUUGGAUUACCCUCAUACAUUGCCUUCAAGGCCAUAAUUCAAAAUUCAACACUUACAAUUUUCACUUCAAGGGUCAUAGACCAUAUAUUGAAAUCAUGCUUAGAGUUUCUACUAUAAGCAUGAAAAAUAAAAAAAAUUAAUUUCUAAAUCCACAUACAUACUAUCCCACAUAUUCAUAAUUCACAAAGAAAUCGCAUCAUAAUUUUCAUUAAGUUGAGUGAAUGGGAAAACACAUGUGUUCAAGGGAAAUUUAACAAUAAAACCCCUAAUUAAACUUCAAUUUCAUUAUAAUAUUGGAUAACCAACAUAAAUAAAAUAUUUUUGAGAAGAACCCAAGGUAAGAAUCGAAACCCUAAUUUUGAACAAACUUCCAAUUUAAAAAAUAGUAGAGGAAGGGCUUCAUGGGAAAACAAAUCUCAUGAAUGAAAGUUCCCAUACCUUGUUUGAAGCUUUACCACAAAAUUGAGAUGGAAAUCUUGGAACUUGAACCCUAUCCUUGAAGCUUUUGGUUUUCUUCAAUGGAGGAAAUUCGUAUAGAGAGAAAUAUUUGGGAGAAUUAGUUUUGGGAAGUAUUGAGUUUGAGUCUUGUAAAUGGAUGAAAAAUACUUAAAAACCUAUUUAUAUUUUACCCAUAAACCAUCCAAAACACUCACACAUAUAUUGGACUCAAAAGUAAUAGACUACACGCACCUUAAUUAAAAGAACUCAUCCAAGUUCACAAUCCACGCCUCACGAGCCGUAUUGAGCACCUCGACUCGUGGUGAUUGUCAUAAGGAUUAAAUCAAUAUCCUCUUCAAGAUUGCCAAUUCCUACAAAACCAAGUCAAGUUCACGAGCCCCGUUCCCCUUGUCAGGUGCACCACGACCUGUUAUGGUGCCUAUGGUGCUUUGGGUAUCUCCCCUAAAUGCCCCAUUUCCUAAAAUAAAAAAAGCUAAGCGAGUCUCAUGGUCCAUCUCACGAGUCGUGGAGUGGACCACAGUCUGUGGUCCCAUCGUGAGGGUUGGCGCAGUGUCUAGGACACUAGGGGAUCCUCUCUCUUGGCCAAGGCAACUCCAUGAAGUCUUCCACUAACCGUGGUCUUUACCACGAGCCGUAAUGGUGGUCGUUGAGCCUUGAGGCAUAAGCUCCAAGUAUGGGGAAUCCUUUACUCUUGGCCUUGGCUUGCUCAUUUUGAUUGGAACUCCUCUAUUAGGCCUUGACUCCUAAACCCCCUAAGCGUAUUGGAUGGUCUACUAACUUAGGGGAAAUUAUUUUUUUUAAAUUUAUCCUUACGUUUAGGCUCUAGUUCAACCUAGUAUUUUCCGUUGUGUUACAAAUUAUCGGGUGGGGGAAAAUAAAUUUUAGUUUUGGAAUGGUACAUUCAAGAUUAGUGUUCUUGUUUUCAAGCUUAAUAUUUAUGUUCAUGUGUGUGUGUGUGUGUGUGUGUAUAUAUAUAUAUAUAUAUAUAUAUAUAUAUAUAUAUAUAUAUAUAUAUAAGGUUAGAGCUGGUCACUUUGUGGAUUUUUGAUUCUGGACUUUUAUUUUGCUAAAUUUUUUUAAAUGUUUGACAGGACUUGCCCAAGAAAAUAAAAAAAGAGCUUCCUUUUCUGGAGCCCCUGCAGUCCCUAAUUACUUAUGGUGGAAAGAAGUGGAACUUUUUUUAUGGUUGAGCCAAAACUAGAUACAAAUUUAGUACUGGAUGCUAAUUUUUUGCGGAUGAUAACAAUCUAAGAGAAGGGGAUGGUCUUGUAUUUGAACUCUCAGAGUGUAACUCUAACAAAAUCGAACAAAAAAUUCAAAUUCUAAGAGAAGAUUUUCCAGCAGAAUUAGUUCCUAAAGAUGUGGAGGGUUUAAACACUGACAACCCAAUAAUAAUUGAUUAAAAACUUUAUCAUUUCUAGUAGAAACUUCAAUUUUCAAUAAAAAAAACUUUAAUGAUUCAUGCAUUUUCAAUUUCAAAAAUAAAAACUUCAUCAAUUCCAAUAGUUCCAGGUUUGGUGUAUGCCUCAUUUUAUCAAUGUUGCCUUUUGGGUUAUGUGGUUAAAUAAUGUUGAUACUAUUAUUAAAAAUAUGUAUUACAUUAUUACGCCAUACAUGUACAACACAUGUGAAGAGAUAGUAAUAUAUUAAAUACUAAUAUUUAAUGCAAUUAAUUUUGAAAUUUCUAUUUUUUAAAACUUGAGAAUCUAAAAUUUUCAUUUUACUUUAACUAAUUCAACCUUCAAAAUUUAAGAAAGAUUUGCAUCUGAAACUGAAUAAUUAUGCUUAAGCAAGAGCCCAUGAUAAAAAAUAUCAUCCUCACUAUAGUCCGAUGUGAAUUUAUGCUUAUGUGUUUUUAUCACAUUAUAGACAUUGAAUCAUAUCGUCAUUUAAUUUCUUAAAUAUCGUCACAUGAGACUUGUGUUUGCUCGUCUUAAACUGGUAGGAAGUGUAACCAUGUAACAUUGAAAAUUCAAUCCAAUAAAAAAAUUGUGAACUUCACAAUUUAUAGCAUUUUAAGAGAAAAGUGAAGAAGGGGUAGCAACUUGUUUAUUUUUAAAAUGUAAUUGGGUGAUUAAGAAUGCGGCGAGGGUUAGUUUUUAAAAAUUUUUUAAAAGGAAAAUAAUGGGGAAAAAUUAAAAUAAGAUCGAUUGUGCCUUUCUGAGUGUUGUCCCAACGGUCUAACAAAUUUAAAAUCAAAUUCUUAAAAAUAUUUGACAAUUAAAAUAAUUUAUCUCAUCAGUUAUAAGUUAUAACUUAAUGUAACACUAUGAGAUUGGAUUUGUGUAGACCAUUGAUCAAUCCAUGUGGAUCCCUAGUAACAUAUGCUUUAUUUGUAUCACGUGCAUUCACCUUAGUGGAUUUGAUAUAGGUGUUGAGUGCGUCUAGAAAGUCUUUAAAAUACGAAUAGACGUCAAGUUCGUCUAGAAAGAAGGUAAAAUACGUUAGGUAAAUGAAAGAAUUAAUGCUCCAAUUAUUUUACUAAAUAUAUUUGUUUGCAAAUAUCAAAUUAUAUGAUUCUAGACUUCUUUGGUAUAAAGAAUAUUUUUCAAAAAGUUCAAAUACUUUUUAAAUAAAAAAUUUGUCCUUGUUAAAAAAUCUCAUUUUUAAAAUUUUUUAUUAAAAAAAUAUCUCCCACACCAACCAACCACAAUCAAUUUUUAAAAAAACAUUUAUUUAAAAUAAAAAAACUAAAAAAGGGCAAAAACAAGUGUGAUUGCUUAUUUUAUUUCUAAAAGUCAAUAAAGAAACUUCACAUAAACGUGCACACUUGAUUAUUUUUUUUAUUUUUUUUACUUUGAUGAAAUAUUUAGGUAGCUAUUUUUAGAUUUGGAAUUUAUUAUUCAAAAAAAUAUUUCAGAAGAUAAAUUAAGAUCAUCAUUUUUGUGAAUUAGACAGACCCAACAUAUUUUUGUGUUAAAAGAUUUCAAAAUCAAAUAAAGAGACCCUAUGUUCGCAGCGUUCAAAAGUCUGAAAGCAAAAAAAAAACACAUUAUUAUUGUUAAAAAAAUUCAAAAAUGUUAAAAUCCAUUGUAUAGUACAUGUGGAUUAUCCAUUAAAUUUAUCCACUAUUAAUUGAAUUCAUGUAUAGGUGCUUCCAAGGUGAUAAGAACUUUCAAAAAAAAAUAUUUGUAGAUUAAUUAGAUGAUUUUUGGGGUGAUAUCUCAACACUAUAAAUAGAGAAUCAAUCACCAUUUGAAAGACACACUUGAAUACGAAAAUUUCUCUCCUCUAUCUUAUACUUCUUUUCUUCUUUUUAUUAUUAUAAUAUUCUGAGCUUUCUUUAUAAUAAAAAACAAGCAAACACCCACAUUAUUUGUGUUAAAAACAUUAGAAGCAGAGACAGACCUAACAAUUGUGUUAAAAACUCCAGAACCAGUCAAAGACACUCUAUUCCAUGUAACUAGUGCUAAAAUUUCAAAAGCAGUUAAAGAGAACCCACAUUAUUUUUGUUAAAAAUUCUGAAAGCAAGUUAGAGAAACAUUAAUUGUACUAGACAAUUCGAAAGAAGAAAUAAACCCCAUAUUAUUUGAGCUAAAAAUUCUGAAAGCAGACAAAGAGACCCGACAUAAUUUGUGUUAAAAAUUUCAAAACACACAAAGAAGUAUUACUUUUACUAGUCUUAAAAGUUGUUAUGUAAUUUGGUAUUUUAAUUCUUUAAGCCAGAAUAGUCUCGUGCUAGGAUUAAUGUGACCACCUAUGUUUGUAACAAUGCAUAGUAUUAUAAAAUGUAGGGAAUAUAAUUAGUUGUUUAGCCGGAAAAAAACUUGGAGUUAUUUUUUUUAAAAAAAUAGAUCCCCACCAUCACCACCACACUAUACCCCUACUUUAACCACAACCACAACCACAACACCUAAAACACAAACUAUCAAAUUUUGACAUUUUAGGAAUUUUAUUUUACUAUUUGUAAAUUGAAUCAAAUCGGAACGAGAACUUUAUUAAUCCUUGAGGUUUAGAUGAAUUCAACGACUUUCAUCUCAACAAACAAGUAACCAUACAAUAAUCCACAUUGGCCAUUAUUUAAAAUUUAUAUAUUAUUUCUUCAUAUAUGUAAAAGAAUUUACUCAAAAGUACUUUAUGUAAUAAUAUUCAUAUUAUUUAUAAAUAUGUGCAUUACAUUAUUAUGCAUACAUGUGCAAUGCACCUUCGAUUCAUGCACCGGGAAUGAGCUCCAGACCAAAAGUCUCUAAUGGAGGAGUCUGGUUGCUCAGAACUAGUAAUAUAUUAAAUGCUUAAAUAUCAAAAUAUUCUAUACAAUUAAUUUUACGAGAUAUAUUUUGUAAAAAAAAACAUGCAAAUCUUAUAAAAUGCAUAAGUACCUCCCCCCACCCACCCACCCACAACCUAUGCAUGAUAUCUUAGAGUCACAGUUAUACUGAGGUCCUUUUAUCCCAGAACUUAUUUUAUAAAUAAUUUUCUACCCUCUUUCGGCCUACUUGACACUAGCUUGAAAAAAAUUUCAACAUGCGUUUGGCCCACAAGAUAGUGUCAAGUAGGCCGAAAAGGGAUACAAAAAUAUUUACAACAUAAGUUCAGGGGAUUAUAGGUCCUUAGUAUUGUAUAAGUAAGUCUCUAAAAUUUCGGGCAUAGUUUCAAGGGGUACUUGUGCAGUUUCCCUUUUUUUUCACCAACUAAACAAGAGAAAAUAGAAACUCCGAGCCUAAAGAUUAAUGAAUGACAUAUUUUUUGAGAAUCAGAUGUACCCCUCGUUUUUUAUAUUAAAAACUCUGAAGAAAGAAACCCCGCGUUAUCAGUGUUAGAAGCUUCGAAAGCAGACAAAGAGAACCCGUAUUAUAUGUAUUAAUCAAAAGCAAGUACAGAGCCACAUCAUUUAUGUUAAAAAGUUUACAAGAAGAACGAAGAGCUCGACCUUUUUAUUUGUACUAUGAAAUCAAAAGCAGAUAAAGAUAACUCAUAUUGUCAGUAUUAGAAAAUGUAGAAUCAAACUAAGAAAGACACAUGCUAUUUGUGUUAAAAACUUCAAUAGUAUGCAAAAAGUCACAUUAUUUAUUUUAGAAACUAUGGAAGCUUACAUAGAGAUCCCACAUUAUAUUUAUGUUAAUGAUUACAAAAGUAGACAGAGAAAGAAAAUUCUUGGCUUAAAAAGCCACAAUGUAAUUCUUUAGACUAGAACAAUGCUAAUCCUUAUGUGGUGAUUUUAAUUUUUAACUGAUACAUUUUAUUAUAUAAAUAAAUAAAUUGGAGUAGUUUUUAAUAAAAAAGUAAAAAAACAAUUUUUUUGGACACACUAGAACCCAUACUCCCACUUUCAAAAUUUUAAACUAUCCACCUUUGACAGUUCAACGAUUUUUAUGUAUUUUCUAUAAAAUGAAAAAGAAUUUUAUUUUAUAGUGGGUGUAAGUGUAAAAUUCAUCCUUGAAGGUUCGGAAAAAAUUCAAUAAUUUUGACCUCAACAAAUGAGUAACAAUACGACAAUCCACCAUGAUCUUUCAUUAAAACGUGUACUUUAUUUCUUCAUAUAUGUAAAAUUAUUUACCCAAACAAAAUUUGUUUUAUAAUAUUGUUUAUUAUAUUAUUAGGCAUUCAUGUUCAAUGCACGUAUAGAAAAUUAGUAUUAUAUCAAAUACUAAAAUGUCAUGAUUCUCAAUACAAUUUAUUCUACAAAUUUUAUUUUUUAUAAACUUGCAAAUUUAAUGUUUCCAUUUUACAACAACUAAACCAUUGAUAUAUGAAACGUUAAACCAAAAGCUAAUGAAGAUCAACUUUUUUUACCAAACUAGAUAUACUUCGCUUUUAUUGAGUUAAUAAUACCUAAAGCAGAAAAAGAGUCCCCCACAUUAUCAAUGUUAUUCUCUAGAAGCAUAUAAAGAGAAUUCACAUUAUCUUUGUUAACAACUCCGAAAGCAAGCGAAGAGACACAUUUGUGGUGUUAAAACAUCAAAAGCAAACAAAAACCUCAUAUUUUUUGUAUGAAAAAAUUUGAUAGCAGAGAAAGAGACCCUAAAUUAUUAGUGUUCAAAACUUAAGAAGCAGACAAAGAAAAUAUAUUGUAUAUGUAUUAAAACUCCAAAAGCAUGUAAAAAGACACGUUAUUUUUGUUCAAAACAUUGAAAGCAAACAAAAACCCUACGUUAUUUGUGCUAAAAAUUUUGAAAGUAAAUAAAGAGACCCCUUUAGGCUGAUUAUGUGUUUUAUUAAAAAACCUAAAAAAAAUUACACAUCUUUACACUUGCGUGAGCAUGGCCCAACCCACACUUAGCCUAACAUUCAGAAAGAAAACAACUAAAUGUUGCGACCCGAUUUCGAAAAAUGAAAUGUUCGAAGUCGAUUUUGCAACUUUGGCAUUUUUUGUUAAUGUUUUUUUGGAUAAUUUGUAACUUGGGAGUCACCACUUAAUUUUUAGGUAAAAAUAAAGAGAACCAUUUGAAAUGAUUUUUUUAAGAAAAAACAUUUAAAUGAACCAAUGUUUUGGGUAAGGGUUCAAUUAAUUCUCUAAGGAAAGGUCUAGUCAUCUUAGAGAAUCCGCAAACACGUGAUUUACCGACGAAUUUUAAAGUUUGGCUAAUUUUAUAAAGAAAACAUAGAUUACUUGUAAAAAAAUCUUGUUUUAAAAUAACUACAUUUUUUUGACACUUGUACACUAAUCUUAUUCCAAGUAGAGCCGUCUAUAUGGGCUAGGCCCGUUGGGCCGGCCUGGCAUAAAUCGGGAUUUAAUAGGGUUGGACUUACAUUUUUGGAGCCCAUUUAAUAAAUGAAAUUUUUACCCCGCCCUAAAUAAAUCUGUUGAUUUGAAGGGCUUGAGAAAUAUAUGUAGGGUAGGCCCGUGGGCAAAUAAUAAUUAAUUAAAAUUUUUUAAUACAAUAUUAAAAUUUAAAAUUAAAGAGAGUCCAAAUUAAAAAUAAUUAGGUUAAUAUUUUUAAUUAUAUAUUUUUAUUUAUUAUUCAAGAUAAUUUCAGAGACCUCCCUCCAGGCUUCGCUCUAUAACACUCAAAUUCCUGUGGUUUACGAUAUUACGUCUACCUCCCUUAUUUUUAUUUUCUUGUAACCAUUCUUUAAACCUAUUUAAAUAAAUAUAAGUAAAUUUACAUUUGAUAAACUUACCCUUAUAUAUGAAUGUUUAGAUCUAAUUUUCAAUGAUUUAUCUUUAUUCGUUGGAUCACGUUUCUUCUUAGCUUGUGUAAAUGUUUAACUAGAACAAAAUCUUAUCGUUCUUAUCGAAUUUCUUUCUUGGAUAGUUCAAUUUUGUCUUUUAUUUAAAAAAAUUAUUGCCGCAAAAUGAUGGGUUAUGGGGAAAAAAUUUACGUGAAUUGGUAAAGGUGAAAUAGAGAUAAAGAGUUAAUAUUUGGUGAAAAUGUGGGUUAGCUUAGUUGAAGACUUUGAUCUUUGUUGGAUUAAAAAAAUAAGUCUUUGCGUUAAUUUAUUUUUAAAGUAUUUGUUAAAUUAGUUAUUUUGUAUAUAAUAUUUAUUUAGAAGAAAUUUAUCUAAAAAAGAGUAAAAUUGUCAAAUCUAUAUUAAUUCAUAUUUAUUUUAAAUAGUUUUAAAGAAUGGUUACAAGUAAAUGAAAAUAAGGAAGGUAGACGUAAUAUCGUAAACCAAAGGGUAGGUAAGUAUUAAAGAGCGAAACAUGGAGGUCUCUGAUAUUAUCUCUACAAAUAUUAUAAAAAUAAUUUUAUUUUGAUUUAAUUAACAAGUACAAACAUUAACAUCAGGUAAUAUUGUUUUGUCGAAAUUUUAGAUAAUAUUACAAAUUAUAAUUUGAAACUUAAUUUAACAACUAUAAAAAAUAUUUUUUUAAAAAAAAAAGUGGCCUGGCCCGUCAAGCCAGGUACUUGUGGGUAUGGUCGACCAUUUUGCCCCACGCCAAAAAUGGGCUAGCCCGGCCUGACCCGUAAAAUGUCAAAGCCUAUAUGGAUUAGCCCGGAUGGUGUGGUCUAGCCCAUAUUGACAACUCUAAUUCCAAGUAUGAAAUAAGUCAAAUGCUAUACUGUAAAAUAAUUAUUUCUACUUAACAUUUUAUCCGAGGUAAAGUUUUACAGUUGAAAAAUCAACACAAUAACUUAAGCAUGAAUUUGAAAACUAAAUACUAACUACGAAAGGAUAUUGAAUAAUUCUCAAAUUAGUCUUGAAGCUCAAAUUGCCUAACUUAAACUUUUACCCAUGUUCAUGUUUUGAACCAAUAUGAAUAAUUCAAAACUCCUAAUUAUGGAUAAAGGAACUUUGUUUAACAACUAUAAAAGGAUAUUGAAUAAUUCUCAAAUUAGUCUUGAAGCUCAAAUUGCCUAACUUAAACUUUUACCCAUGUUCAUGUUUUUAACCAAUAUGAAUAAUUCAAAACUCCUAAUUAUGGAUUAAGGAACUUUGUUUACCAACUAUGAAAGGAUAUAGAAACCUUAAGUCAUUCAUACAAAGUCUUAAGUUAAAUUAUAAGACAACUUAUUUUUUUUUUGUAUAUAUAUUUUAAGAAACUUGACAAUUUCAUUCUGCUCAAAAAAGGAAUUAAAUUGUAAAUUCAAACUCAAAACAUGGAUUCAAAGCUUUUUAACAACUAUGAAAGAGCACAAAAUGUUCUCAAGUCAUUCUAUAAGCUUAAAUUAUCAAACUUAAAAAGGGUUUGAAGAAUAAAUGAAAAUUUGAAACGCCACCAAUUGUAAGAUACAAAAGAAAGAUUUGAUAAACUAAACUCCAGGAGCUCCGUGGGGAUUUUAUCUAAGUCAAGAAGAGAAUUUUAAAGUUGUUAGGUUUUCACAAUCAACUAUAAUAAAGAAAUUAUACUAAUAUCAAUGCAAAUAAGAGAAUAAGAAAACGAGGGGGCGGCUGAAAUUUUAUUUCACCCCCAAGUCUCAGCCCUUCAGGUUGAUGUCGUUGCCGUUUGGCUUGGACUUUUGAAGGUCCAAAACUUUUUUUAAAAAAAAUUUAGCCUUUCUAAGGCUGCUGCUACUGCUUCAUUAAUUUGGAAUUUUAACCCAAAUUUGCUCCUCAUUUUCAGCCUUAUGAGGUUAUCGUAACUCUGCCUCAAUUAGUGCAAUUUUUGGGACUUAUCAAGUACGAUAAAAUGCUAUUCUUUUAGCCAUUUAGGCUACUGCUACUGCUGUAUUUUUUGGUGUCUAAACCAAUAAUAUUAGCUCCCUUUCACAACUCCGAAGAAGGUUGACUCAAUAAGAGGAAAAUGCAAGAGAGGGGAGUCUAUUGGAUUCAUUCACUGAAAGCGUGUUCAUGCAAAAGGAGGAAAAGAAAAGAGUAAAAUAAGAACCUCAAUAUGAAUAAUAUCAAGUCAAAUAAACGAUCUAGUUACCAUCAUGUAAAAAAUCCAAAACAGAGUGAACAAUAUUUUUAGAGUAAUAAAAUAUAAUUUCUUAAAACUAAUAAAGGAACUUAACCGUAGUCAUCCUAACUACAUGGUGUUGCUAAGAGAUUUGAGCAAGUAACGAAGUGCAAUGGAAAUAAUUAUGAAUGUCAUACUCUAACUUAAACAAUUACACGGAAGAGGCACAAAGGUUAUUAAACAUAGAGUUUUGCACCCUUUCAGUCGCCAACUGAUCAUAAUUUAAACAAACAAUGAAACAACCAGAAAACUAAUUCAAACAGUAGUAUAACAGUCCAAACAAGCUGCUACAGGCUCCAUUUACACCCAACUAACACUUAAAUGUAAGCACAAUAAACUGGUCAGAACUAUCACUUAAGCAAGCAGGAUGAUAGCCGUCAAUAUCUUAUGAAACAAAUGCUGAAAGAAAGCACAAACAUGAUAUAAAAUACCCAAGCAUGCUUCUCAAAACAACUUUGUAAGGAAACAAUUUUAUUUUUCAUUUUUAUGGACCAGACUCAUGUAACAGGAGAGUGAAAUAGAGAUGAUCCCUAUGAUACCAGGCCAACAAUAAUUUAAACAACAACCAUAGAAGCAACACAACUACGAAAAGCUAAUCAUCUCAAACAAAAUUUCACAAAUAACGAGAUAGAAUAAUGCAAUCAGAGGGAUAAAAUGACGUGAUAAGUGAAAGAGGUGAGACCAUGAAAUGAAAGGAUUAUUUUUUUUAAAGCUACAACACAUGUUCUGAUAUGAAUGUGACAAACUUGAACAUUAAUCAUCCACAACUUACUGUGAAUAUUGACAAUCAAACAAAAGGGGUAUUCUAAUUACAACUUACUGUAAAUAUUGACAAUCAAACAAAAGGGGUAUUCUAAUUUUCCAAUAGAGUUGAAGAAAACCUGCAAGUUUUUGUGGAUAUAAUCAAACACAGACAAUCUAAUAUAUUGAAAACACUAAACUACCAAUCAUAUUAUGAAGACAAGAAGCCAACAAGAUAACUAAAAAAUAUUCAGACGAAAACCCUUCACAAUGAAAAAUCUAAUCAGAGAAAAUUAAAUUAAACUAGCAAGAAGGAAAAUAUACAUGAUUACCUUGUGCUGAGCAGCAAAUCGGGACAACGAGUUUGGAAACGAUUCCACCUCUUUAACUCAAAAAGCCACAAAACGUUUUAAAAUUUGAAUUGUGGAACAAAGAAUUCCCAAAAGUUUUUGGGUAUUCUUUGGUCUCCGAAAAUCGUCCUCUGAACAGUGAAAAGAAAGGGAUUUAUAUAAGAGAGUUUUGGGGGAAUUUCUUGUUAGACACUAUGUGGGAGAAUCCCAAAUUCAAAAAUCAGCAAAGAUAAGGGUGCGUGAGCUAGAGGGUGUACGAAUUCGUACCAUUUUCAAAUAGAAAAGAGGGGAGAGUCGUCCGAUUUUGAGCCAAGAACGAGCUUUUAAGGAGAUGGAGACACCUGGCCUUGUCCUCCAACUUUCAAGAGGAUCAGGUCGAGGGAGAGAGACACGUGCGAGACUCAAUUCGAUGGGCGCACUGCGUGGCUGUUUU
rnacentral:lncRNA from 1 species